CGUGCCCGGCCACCGAACGGUCGGCAGGCGAUCCGCGUCGGUCGUGCUGGGUGGUAUGGUUCCCCAGAGGCCGGUUCUUGUGCUGCCUACCCCUUCAGGGGAAGCGGGCCACUCGAUGUAAGCCUCCAUCCGGCGCCCUCCAACGGGCGCAGGAGGACAACGUAGCACCCCCCACGUUCCACCGAGCCCCCGUCGGUCGCGUGGCGCGCGGGGGAGUGCGACGCUCUCGGACCCAGCGAACGCCGUGGGCGAGGACUCACGUCCCAGUCCCGAUAGAAGCUCCCGUACAACGCAGGACGGCCGCUCCCGUCCCCCGACCGCCCCGGCGGCGCGGGGGCGAGGCGCGGCGUCGCGGAGGAAUGC
rnacentral:misc_RNA from 1 species